rnacentral:rRNA from 1 species
CCUACGGGAGGCUGCAGUGGGGAAUAUUGGACAAUGGGCGAAAGCCUGAUCCAGCCAUGCCGCGUGUGUGAAGAAGGCCUUCGGGUUGUAAAGCACUUUCAGUGGGGAAGAAAGCCUUGGGGCUAAUACCCUCGAGGAAGGACAUCACCAACAGAAGAAGCACCGGCUAACUCCGUGCCAGCAGCCGCGGUAAUACGGAGGGUGCGAGCGUUAAUCGGAAUUACUGGGCGUAAAGCGCGCGUAGGCGGUCUGAUAAGCCGGUUGUGAAAGCCCCGGGCUCAACCUGGGAACGGCAUCCGGAACUGUCAGGCUAGAGUGCAGGAGAGGAAGGUAGAAUUCCCGGUGUAGCGGUGAAAUGCGUAGAGAUCGGGAGGAAUACCAGUGGCGAAGGCGGCCUUCUGGACUGACACUGACGCUGAGGUGCGAAAGCGUGGGUAGCAAACAGGAUUAGAUACCCGAGUAGUC